AAGUCCCGCAACGAGCGCAACCCUACGUUUAGUUGCCAUCGGGUGGAGCCGGGCACUCUGGACGAACUGCCGUUGACAAAACGGAGGAAGUGGGGAUGACGUCAAUCAUCAUGCCCUUAUGUCCUGGGCCACACACGUGCUACAAUGGCCGGUACAGAGGGAAGCGAAGCCGUGAGGUGGAGCAAAUCCCAAAAAGCCGGUCUCAGUUCGGAUUGCAGGCUGCAACCCGCCUGCAUGAAGUCGGAAUCGCUAGUAAUCGCAGGUCAGCAUACUGCGGUGAAUACGUUCCCGGGCCUU
rnacentral:rRNA from 1 species